UUCUGAGGUAUUGGGAAUUAGAACUUCA
rnacentral:piRNA from 1 species